AGUAACACGUGGGAAACCUGCCCAGAAGCGGGGGAUAACACCUGGAAACAGAUGCUAAUACCGCAUAACAACUUGGACCGCAUGGUCCGAGUUUGAAAGAUGGCUUCGGCUAUCACUUUUGGAUGGUCCCGCGGCGUAUUAGCUAGAUGGUGGGGUAACGGCUCACCAUGGCAAUGAUACGUAGCCGACCUGAGAGGGUAAUCGGCCACAUUGGGACUGAGACACGGCCCAAACUCCUACGGGAGGCAGCAGUAGGGAAUCUUCCACAAUGGACGAAAGUCUGAUGGAGCAACGCCGCGUGAGUGAAGAAGGGUUUCGGCUCGUAAAACUCUGUUGUUAAAGAAGAACAUAUCUGAGAGUAACUGUUCAGGUAUUGACGGUAUUUAACCAGAAAGCCACGGCUAACUACGUGCCAGCAGCCGCGGUAAUACGUAGGUGGCAAGCGUUGUCCGGAUUUAUUGGGCGUAAAGCGAGCGCAGGCGGUUUUUUAAGUCUGAUGUGAAAGCCUUCGGCUCAACCGAAGAAGUGCAUCGGAAACUGGGAAACUUGAGUGCAGAAGAGGACAGUGGAACUCCAUGUGUAGCGGUGAAAUGCGUAGAUAUAUGGAAGAACACCAGUGGCGAAGGCGGCUGUCUGGUCUGUAACUGACGCUGAGGCUCGAAAGUAUGGGUAGCAAACAGGAUUAGAUACCCUGGUAGUCCAUACCGUAAACGAUGAAUGCUAAGUGUUGGAGGGUUUCCGCCCUUCAGUGCUGCAGCUAACGCAUUAAGCAUUCCGCCUGGGGAGUACGGCCGCAAGGCUGAAACUCAAAGGAAUUGACGGGGGCCCGCACAAGCGGUGGAGCAUGUGGUUUAAUUCGAAGCUACGCGAAGAACCUUACCAGGUCUUGACAUACUAUGCAAAUCUAAGAGAUUAGACGUUCCCUUCGGGGACAUGGAUACAGGUGGUGCAUGGUUGUCGUCAGCUCGUGUCGUGAGAUGUUGGGUUAAGUCCCGCAACGAGCGCAACCCUUAUUAUCAGUUGCCAGCAUUAAGUUGGGCACUCUGGUGAGACUGCCGGUGACAAACCGGAGGAAGGUGGGGAUGACGUCAAAUCAUCAUGCCCCUUAUGACCUGGGCUACACACGUGCUACAAUGGAUGGUACAACGAGUUGCGAACUCGCGAGAGUAAGCUAAUCUCUUAAAGCCAUUCUCAGUUCGGAUUGUAGGCUGCAACUCGCCUACAUGAAGUCGGAAUCGCUAGUAAUCGCGGAUCAGCAUGCCGCGGUGAAUACGUUCCCGGGCCUUGUACACACCGCCCGUCACACCAUGAGAGUU
rnacentral:rRNA from 2 species